rnacentral:rRNA from 1 species
ACGGGAGGCAGCAGUGGGGAAUAUUGGGCAAUGGGCGAAAGCCUGACCCAGCAACGCCGCGUGAAGGAAGAAGGUCUUCGGAUUGUAAACUUCUUUUAUGAGGGACGAAGGACGUGACGGUACCUCAUGAAUAAGCCACGGCUAACUACGUGCCAGCAGCCGCGGUAAUACGGAGGAUGCGAGCGUUAUCCGGAUUUAUUGGGUUUAAAGGGUGCGCAGGCGGCACGUUAAGUCAGCGGUGAAAUGUCGGGGCUCAACCCGGGCACUGCCGUUGAAACUGGCGAGCUUGAGUACGGAUGAAGUCGGCGGAAUGUGACGUGUAGCGGUGAAAUGCAUAGAUAUGUCACAGAACACCGAUUGCGAAGGCAGCCGGCCAAUCCGCAACUGACGCUCAUGCACGAAAGCGUGGGGAUCGAACAGGAUUAGAUACCCUGGUA